GACGAACGCUGGCGGCGUGCCUAAUACAUGCAAGUCGAACGCUUUUUCUUUCACCGGAGCUUGCUCCACCGAAAGAAAAAGAGUGGCGAACGGGUGAGUAACACGUGGGUAACCUGCCCAUCAGAAGGGGAUAACACUUGGAAACAGGUGCUAAUACCGUAUAACACUAUUUUCCGCAUGGAAGAAAGCUGAAAGGCGCUUUUGCGUCACUGAUGAAUGGACCCGCGGUGCAUUAGCUAGUUGGUGAGGUAACGGCUCACCAAGGCAACGAUGCAUAGCCGACCUGAGAGGGUGAUCGGCCACACUGGGACUGAGACACGGCCCAGACUCCUACGGGAGGUAGCAGUAGGGAAUCUUCGGCAAUGGACGAAAGUCUGACCGAGCAACGCCGCGUGAGUGAAGAAGGUUUUCGGAUCGUAAAACUCUGUUGUUAGAGAAGAACAAGAAUGAGAGUAAAACGUUCAUCCCUUGACGGUAUCUAACCAGAAAGCCACGGCUAACUACGUGCCAGCCGCCGCCGUAA
rnacentral:rRNA from 1 species